ACUACGGGAGGCAGCAGUGGGGAAUAUUGGGCAAUGGGCGCAAGCCUGACCCAGCAACGCCGCGUGAAGGAAGAAGGCUUUCGGGUUGUAAACUUCUUUUCUCAGGGACGAAGAAAGUGACGGUACAUGAGGAAUAAGCCACGGCUAACUACGUGCCAGCAGCCGCGGUAAUACGUAGGUGGCAAGCGUUAUCCGGAUUUAGUGGGUGUAAAGGGCGUGUAGGCGGGAGCGCAAGUCAGAUGUGAAAACUCAGGGCUCAACCCUGAGCCUGCAUUUGAAACUGUGUUUCUUGAGUGCUGGAGAGGCAAUCGGAAUUCCGUGUGUAGCGGUGAAAUGCGUAGAUAUACGGAGGAACACCAGUGGCGAAGGCGGAUUGCUGGACAGUAACUGACGCUGAGGCGCGAAAGCGUGGGGAGCAAACAGGAUUAGAUACCCCAGUAGUC
rnacentral:rRNA from 1 species